rnacentral:rRNA from 1 species
CCUACGGGAGGCUGCAGUGGGGAAUAUUGGACAAUGGGGGGAACCCUGAUCCAGCCAUGCCGCGUGUGUGAAGAAGGCCCUCGGGUUGUAAAGCACUUUCAGUGAGGAAGAACGCCUGGUGGUUAAUACCCAUCAGGAAAGACAUCACUCACAGAAGAAGCACCGGCUAACUCCGUGCCAGCAGCCGCGGUAAUACGGAGGGUGCGAGCGUUAAUCGGAAUUACUGGGCGUAAAGCGCGCGUAGGUGGCUUGAUAAGCCGGUUGUGAAAGCCCCGGGCUCAACCUGGGAACGGCAUCCGGAACUGUCAAGCUAGAGUGCAGGAGAGGAAGGUAGAAUUCCCGGUGUAGCGGUGAAAUGCGUAGAGAUCGGGAGGAAUACCAGUGGCGAACGCGGCCUUCUGGACUGACACUGACACUGAGGUGCGAAAGCGUGGGUAGCAAACAGGAUUAGAUACCCCAGUAGUC